rnacentral:rRNA from 1 species
AGUGAACGCUGGCGGUAGGCCUAACACAUGCAAGUCGAACGGCAGCACAGUAAGAGCUUGCUCUUACGGGUGGCGAGUGGCGGACGGGUGAGGAAUACAUCGGAAUCUACUUUUUCGUUGGGGAUAACGUAGGGAAACUUACGCUAAUACCGCAUACGACCUACGGGUGAAAGCAGGGGAUCUUCGGACCUUGCGCGAUUGAAUGAGCCGAUGUCGGAUUAGCUAGUUGGCGGGGUAAAGGCCCACCAAGGCGACGAUCCGUAGCUGGUCUGAGAGGAUGAUCAGCCACACUGGAACUGAGACACGGUCCAGACUCCUACGGGAGGCAGCAGUGGGGAAUAUUGGACAAUGGGCGCAAGCCUGAUCCAGCCAUACCGCGUGGGUGAAGAAGGCCUUCGGGUUGUAAAGCCCUUUUGUUGGGAAAGAAAAGCAGCAGGUUAAUACCCCGCUGUUCUGACGGUACCCAAAGAAUAAGCACCGGCUAACCUCGUG